ACUGACCAGCACAGCCGGCUGCCUUCACACCCAGGGCAGGGCCCCGCUGGGCCUUCCUGAAUUUCUGGAAUUUUUUUUCUUAUUUCAAAAAAAAAAAAAAUACAAUACAUACUCCUUAUAGAAACUUGGAAAAUAGAGAAAAACCACGCAUAGAAGAAAGAGAAAAUAAAGCUCUUCGUAUCUUAUCUGUCUUACAGAUGAUUAUGUAAGAAAGAUAAGCAUUUCCCCAUUCAUUAAAUAUUCUUCAAAACAUGUUUUCAAUGGCAGUAGAAUGACCUGUUGUGUGGAUGUGCUAUAUUUAACCAUUCCCAUGUGGUGGAACAUAUAAAUUCUUUAUAAUUUGUCACCACUGGAAAUAACGCUGUAAUUUUACACCGUAAACUCUGUGACUAUUAACGCUGAUUAUCAAGUUACUUUCCAAAAAGAUUACAUCCAUUUAAGUCCACUUGCUAGUGCCUCAUAUAUUUUACAUGGUGACAGUGGGUUUAGAAACGACCCUUUUCCAUUUAAACAGCCUCCAGUGUGAUGAGAGCGAACUAACCUUUUCCUCUAGUCAUAACCCCGGGCUCCUGUGAAGGGUAUGGUAAAUCACAGGAAGUGGAACAGAGAGGAAGAUGGAAGACGUGUCGACUCUUUUGAAGGAUGCGGGAAGAUAGGAUUCUGUCAACGUUUUCCUUUCUGGUGGUGGCAGAUCCUAAAGUUCUAAGCUAGAAGGAAGGUCCGAUAGUUGGGAUUUGGAGACUCAGUUUGGGGACCUGUGAUUUGGUACCCCAAGAGCAUGAGCGUACAGUGUCCUUUCGGGUGAGUAGAAAUAGAAUCUUUCCAUAUCCGUCUUCUGCUACCCAUGUCCGUGUGCUACCCUUACUAAUUUAACUUCCUAAGCUCUGUCAAGAUAGUAGUACCUCCCCACAGCAAUUGGGGUUGCAGACAAUGGAGAGAGAUGGUUUAGGGGACAUUGUUGGUGAUCUGUCACCUCUACCCAUCUCAAUGGAUCCACCUGUUGUUUUCAUUUACAGCAUCACCCAUGUUCUUUGAGGACAACCAAUCAGUCCUUCCCUUCCCAACCUAAGG
rnacentral:lncRNA from 1 species